rnacentral:rRNA from 1 species
UGUGAGAUGCAGUGUAUGGAAUGUCAAAUUUCUAGUAUGAGAAAUUAACGAUUUAAGUCCUUCUUAAAUGAGGCCAUUUACCCAUAGAGGGUGCCAGGCCCGUAUAACGUUAAUGAUUACUAGAUGGCAUUUCCAAAGAGUCGUGUUGCUUGAUAGUGCAGCACUAAGUGGGUGGUAAACUCCAUCUAAAACUAAAUAUAACCAUGAGACCGAUAGUAAACAAGUACCGUGAGGGAAAGUUGAAAAGAACUCUGAAUAGAGAGUUAAAUAGUACGUGAAACUGCUUAGAGGUUAAGCCCGAUGAACCUGAAUAUCCAUUAUAGAAAAUUCAUCAUUAUGAUUUUAAUAUUAAUAAUAUUAUAAUAAUGGUGUGCAUUUUUUCUAUAACGGACAUUGUAAUCUAUUAACAUAAAUAUAUUUAUCAUAAGAUCAAUGAUGCGUAAGUUUAUUCAAAUUAUUUUGCUUGCAAUUUAACAUAGAAUAAAUGCUCUUGAUUUGAUAAAGUGUUGAUAGAUUUAUUGUAUAUAGUGCUUAAAUAUUUAUAUUUUAUAAUAGCAUAUUAAUCAUUGAUUUUUAUGUUUAUUAUAUGCACUUAUAUGAUUAACAAUGCGAAAGAUUCAGGAUACCUUCGGGACCCGUCUUGAAACACGGACCAAGGAGUCUAACAUAUUUGCAAGUUAUUGGGUAUCAAAACCUAAUAGCGAAAUUAACAUAACUUUAAUGGGAUUAGUUUUUAGAUUAUUUAUAGUCUAUUAAUUCAAUCCCGGGGCGUUCUAUAUAGUUAUGUAUAAUAAUAUUUAUAUUAUUUAUACCUCUAACUAGAGCGUACCUUGAGCAUAUAUGCUGUGACCCGAAAGAUGGUGAACUAUACUUGAUCAGGUUGAAGUCAGGGGAAACCCUGAUGGAAGACCGAAACAGUUCUGACGUGCAAAUCGA